GGGGGAUUGUGGCCACCUAGCAGUGCAUCUGGGCCCCCUGGCCUCCAAGUUGUGCCCACCAGCUUGGAGGCUGCUCAGAGGCCCAGAGGCAGCCAGUCCGCCUGUGCCCAGGCCCUCUGCAUGUAGAGUCCUGACCUUCACUGUGUCCACGCUGUCCCUCCUCACUGCCCAGAGCCGUGCUGACAAGCCUCAGCAGGACCAAGGGCCGGAACCUCUGGGGAGACCCACUGGCUGUUUGGGCGUCCCUCUCAGCCGUUUCUGUGAGCCCUACACCACAGGUGCCCCAGAGUCCUCAGCCCUGGGCCCUCCCCUGGACUAGGGAUGGUCCACUCCUGCUGCCCAGAGUCCACACCCAGCAUAGCCCUGGCACCCACUGGGAUACCAUCUGCAGGGUCAGCAGAAGGCUCUGGCAGAAAGGGCGGGGAGCCAGGAGGCCACCGUCAGUGAGCCCUGCCCUAUCUCCUGCGGCUGAGUCGUGCCGGGCACCUGGGGGUUCCGAGGACCUGGGCUGAGCCCUCUUCCCACCAAUCUGGGGUCCUCACGGCCGCUGAUUCAUUUCUGCCUGUGUUGAGCCCUGGUCCCCCUAUCCACAGGCCCUCCAGUCCUGCCAGCCAGGCCAUGGAGAGGCCACAGUGAGGUCCCGUGGCACAGCUGUGGUACAAGAGGUCGGGCUGUCCCUGCGGAGAUGAAGGCUGAGGUGGCAGAAGACUGCACAGUCAACAGAGGGCCAGCAGAGGGCCCUACACCCAGGACGAGCCAGACCCUGAGGAUGUCCAGGCCACUGCCAGCCCAGGGCACCAAGCAGGCACAUUGGAGCACUGUCUGUGGGGCACGGCCACCCUGAGCAGGGGGCACUGCCAACCUGGGCACUGUGUCCUGGAAUGAUGGGCCAACCUGUACUUUGUCUUUAAAUU
rnacentral:lncRNA from 1 species